UACAGAGGUCUCAACCGUUGUUCGGAUUUAUUGGGCGUAAAGGGUGCGUAGGCGGUCGGGUAAGUCGGAUGUGAAAUCCCAGGGCUCAACCCUGGAACUGCAUUCGAUACUGCCUGGCUAGGGUACUGGAGAGGAGACUGGAAUUUAUGGUGUAGCAGUGAAAUGCGUAGAUAUCGUAAGGAAGACCAGUGGCGAAGGCGAGUCUCUGGACAGUUACCGACGCUGAGGCACGAAGGUCAGGGGAGCAAACGGG
rnacentral:rRNA from 1 species